rnacentral:rRNA from 1 species
UACGUAGGGUGCAAGCGUUAAUCGGAAUUACUGGGCGUAAAGGGCGCGUAGGCGGUCGUGACAAGUCACUUGUGAAAUCUCCGGGCUUAACUCGGAACGGUCAAGUGAUACUGUCGGACUAGAGUACAGAAGGGGCAACUGGAAUUCUCGGUGUAGCGGUGAAAUGCGUAGAUAUUCGCAAGAACACCAGUGGCGAAGGCGGCUCACUGGCUCGGUACUGACGCUGAGGUGCGAAAGCGUGGGGAGCAAACAGG